AGUGAACGCUGGCGGUAUGCCUAACACAUGCAAGUCGAACGGCAGCACAGUAAGCGCUUGCCCUUACUGUUGGCGAGUGGCGGACGGGUGAGGAAUGCAUCGGCAUCUACUUUUUCGUGGGGGAUUACGUAGGGCAACUUACGCUAACACCUCAUAUGUUCUACGGCUGGAAGCAGGGGAUCUUGGGACUUUUCGCGUUUCAUUUAGCCGGUGCCGGAUUAGCUAGUUGGCUGGGUAAAGGCCCACCAAGGCGACGAUCCGUAGCCGACCUGAGAGGAUGAUCAGCCACACUGGAACUGAGACACGGUCCAGACUCCUACGGGAGGCAGCAGUAGGGAAUCUUGCGCAAUGGGCGAAAGCCUGACGGAGCCACGCCGCGUGAGUGAUGAAGGUCUUCGGGUCGUAAAGCUCUGUUGUUAGGGAAGAACAGCAGCGGAUGAAACUGCCGCUGUUCUGACGGUACCCAAACAAUAAGCAACGGCUAACCUCGUG
rnacentral:rRNA from 1 species